GACGAACGCUGGCGGCGUGCUUAACACAUGCAAGUCGAGCGGUAAGGCCCUUUCGGGGGUACACGAGCGGCGAACGGGUGAGUAACACGUGGGUGACCUGCCCUUAGCUCUGGGAUAAGCCUGGGAAACUGGGUCUAAUACCGGAUAUGACCUCAUGACUCAUGUUGUGGGGUGGAAAGCCUUGUGCGGCUAGGGAUGGGCCCGCGGUCUAUCAGCUUGUUGGUGGGGUAAUUGCCUACCAAGGCGACGACGGGUAGCCGGCCUGAGAGGGCGACCGGCCACACUGGGACUGAGACACGGCCCAGACUCCUACGGGAGGCAGCAGUGGGGAAUCUUGCGCAAUGGGCGAAAGCCUGACGCAGCGACGCCGCGUGAGGGAUGACGGCCUGG
rnacentral:rRNA from 1 species